UCUCCAUGUAAGAGCCUAGGAAAAGCUCAGUCUUUCAUCGGUCAUCAUCCUGACAUUAGGGUCUUUGAAAGCAUCGUUGACACUCAUGCACAUGAGUGCACAAACACCAUGAGAAGCCCAUGCUGUGAUUACUACCUACAGUCAUAAGGUCAAGCUGGUAAAUCAAACAGUCUUCCCAGUCGUUUCCAGUUCCCUACGGGACAUGAAAGGCCUGGACAACCAGCACACUGCCAAGCCCAUAGUGCUCCCGUAAACCUACAACCAGGGCCUCUGCUGGGAAUCAUGGCAGGAGACACUCCCCUUGGGCGGUGCCCCUUUGGAGAUGUACACUCAGCAGCAGCAGAGGAUCAAAGUCUGGUGGAGAAAAUAGAUCAGAUUAAUGAAGCCAAGCUGUUUCUUCAGCUCAGAGACAUGGAUGGUGAUCAGCAUGGCUAAAUCUGCACCUCUACAGAUUUUUGCAAUGUUACAGUUCUGUACUGGUACUGUAUGCUGUAAAGAAAAAGUGUCAUGGAUGAAACUGAAAUGGGCUAUGAAAUGCAGAACUUAAUUAAUGUAUUAAUAAGACGUUGUCAAAAACUAAAUUCUUUUUCUUCAAAUGUAA